rnacentral:rRNA from 1 species
AGUGAACGCUGGCGGUAGGCCUAACACAUGCAAGUCGAACGGCAGCACAGUAAGAGCUUGCUCUUACGGGUGGCGAGUGGCGGACGGGUGAGGAAUACAUCGGAAUCUACUUUUUCGUGGGGGAUAACGUAGGGAAACUUACUCUAAUACCGCAUACGACCUACGGGUGAAAGCAGGGGAUCUUCUGACCUUGCGCGAUUGAAUGAGCCGAUGUCGGAUUAGCUAGUUGGCGGGGUAAAGGCCCACCAAGGCGACGAUCCGUAGCUGGUCUGAGAGGAUGAUCAGCCACACUGGAACUGAGACACGGUCCAGACUCCUACGGGAGGCAGCAGUGGGGAAUAUUGGACAAUGGGCGCAAGCCUGAUCCAGCCAUACCGCGUGGGUGAAGAAGGCCUUCGGGUUGUAAAGCCCUUUUGUUGGGAAAGAAAAGCAGCAGGUUAAUACCCCGCUGUUCUGACGGUACCCAAAGAAUAAGCACCGGCUAACUUCGUG